rnacentral:sRNA from 1 species
CUUAAACAGAAGAACUUACUCCUGAUUAUGGAGUCUCCUGAGUUUGUGAGCCUCAUGGGAUAUGAGUGCCCUGCAGGAAUGAAAAGAAUCCUUCAUCAAUAGCUUCCUGCCCCCAAAUAAGGAACCAUUGCUCUGUUCUCCUCAGCAAAUAACAUUGACAUGAAACUUACUGCCAUCUGCUUCCCAAAUGAAGGCUUCUGUUGGGACAACCUUCAAGACCAGGGGCUGAGCCCAGCAUACUCAAAGGCUGUGGAUUCAUCAUCAAGAACAAGAAACGGAUGGAGGACCACACAGAGAUACACAAUACCUAAAUGUCCCCACCAUGGUAUGACACAGCCAAGAAAUUUUUCCUAGAAGUUGUGUUAUGCUUUUUUGAUAGCCAGCCUCUGAAACGGUGAAAUAAUUAAAUGUUUUCUCUUUAUAAGUUAGCCUACCUCUGACAUUUCAUUACAGUAGUAGAAAGCUGCAUGACAACACACAUAGCAAACCAUCAGUGCCAAGUCACCUCACACUCAUGGGCUAUGUUGCUCCCGUUCUCGUCCUCCCCCUUCCCCUCAGCCUUCAGGUAGAACUCAGGGUAGUCAACCCUCAAAGGCCAGCAGAGAGAUAGCUCUACUAAAGUUUAAUCAGUUUUUACUGUUCCGAAUUAACAAUUUAACAUUCCCAAAGUCAAUGAAUAGCUUCAAGUUUCUUUCUCUCUUUCAUUUAUUAUUAUUUUAUUAUCAUUGUCAUCAUUAUUGCUUUUGUUUUGCUACAUUUUGGAUUUGGAAGGGUAUCCCAAUGUGGGACUGAGUUCCUGUCCUCUGAGGGCAAAAUCGACCAAUGACCCAUCCAUGA